UACAGAGGUCCCGAGCGUUGUUCGGAUUCACUGGGCGUAAAGGGUGCGUAGGUGGUGAGGAAAGUCGGAUGUGAAAUCUCCAAGCUCAACUUGGAAAUGGCAUUGGAAACUACCUUGCUGGAGGUUUGGAGGGGGGACUGGAAUUCUCGGUGUAGCAGUGAAAUGCGUAGAUAUCGAGAGGAACACCAGUGGCGAAGGCGAGUCCCUGGACAACACCUGACACUGAGGCACGAAAGCUAGGGAGCAAACAGG
rnacentral:rRNA from 1 species